UCUCAAGAUUAUCGUGUCGCCGUUCCUC
rnacentral:sRNA from 1 species